AAUUAAUAAGCUUUUAUAGCAUAUGUCUUGAAAACAUAAGAAAGUACGGUUGGACUCUAUUAUUUAUUU